UGUUGACCUCGGAUCAGGUAGGAAUACCCGCUGAACUUAAGCAUAUCAUAUCAAUAAAGCGGAGGAAAAUACCCGAUGAGC
rnacentral:rRNA from 1 species